rnacentral:tRNA from 1 species
GCCUUCGUGGUGUAGUGGUCAGCACGCUGGGUCAGCUUUUAGAGGUCCGUGGUUCGAGUCCUGGCGAAGGCG